AGAUGAUUGAGCUGCUGACUAGAGAGGUUCCUAUAAGGUGUCAGGAUAUCACCGUCUAUUUCACCAUGGAGGAGUGGGAGUAUUUAGAAGGACACAAAGAUCUGUACAAGGACGUCAUGAUGGAGGAUCCCCAGCCCCUCAAACCACCAGUUAAGGAAGAGAGACAACCACAAGAGAUAUGUUCCAGUCCCCUUCUUCCACAGGAUAAUGAAGUAGAUGGAGAUAAGGGCCUCAAGAUGGAGGAUCACCGGCCCCUGACAUCACCAGUUAAGGAAGAGAGAAGAACACCAGAGAGAUGUCCCAGUCCUCUUCUUCUACAGGAUGGUUCAGAAGAACAUCACAAUGUCCCACAGGA